AGAGUUUGAUCAUGGCUCAGAAUGAACGUUGGCGGCGUGGAUUAGGCAUGCAAGUCGAGCGCGAUAUGUAGCAAUACAUGGAGAGCGGCGAAAGGGAGAGUAAUACGUAGGGUAUCUACCCUCGGGUCUGGGAUAGCAGCGGGAAACUGCUGGUAAUACCAGAUAACGUCUCCGGACCAAAGGUGUGAUUCCACCUGAGGAGGAGCCUACGGCCUAUUAGCUAGUUGGUAGGGUAACGGCCUACCAAGGCAAAGAUGGGUAUGGGGUGUGAGAGCAUGCCCCCACUCACUGGGACUGAGACACUGCCCAGACACCUACGGGUGGCUGCAGUCGAGAAUCUUCGGCAAUGGGCGAAAGCCUGACCGAGCGACGCCGCGUGCGGGAUGAAGGCCUUCGGGUUGUAAACCGCUGUCGUAGUGGAGGAAAUGUAGGAGAGUUAUCUCUUCUACUUGACUAAUACUAGGAGGAAGGACCGGCUAAUCUCGUG
rnacentral:rRNA from 1 species